CGAUACUAGCUUGCUAGUAGGCGUCGAGUGGCGGACGGGUGAGUAACGCGUAGGAAUCUACCUGAUAGUGGGGGAUAGCCCGAAGAAAUUCGGAUUAAUACCGCAUAAUCUAUUCGUAGUAAAGUGGGGGACUUUCGAGCCUCACGCUAUCAGAUGAGCCUGCGUAAGAUUAGCUAGUUGGUAGGGUAAAAGCCUACCAAGGCGACGAUCUUUAGCUGGUCUGAGAGGAUGAUCAGCCACAUCGGGACUGAGACACGGCCCGAACUCCUACGGGAGGCAGCAGUGGGGAAUAUUGGACAAUGGGGGCAACCCUGAUCCAGCAAUACCGCGUGUGUGAAGAAGGCCUGAGGGUUGUAAAGCACUUUCAAUUGUGAAGAAAAGCUAGUGGUUAAUAGCCAUUAGCCUUGACGUUAACUUUAGAAGAAGCACCGGCUAACUCCGUGCCAGCAGCCGCGGUAAUACGGAGGGUGCAAGCGUUAAUCGGAAUUACUGGGCGUAAAGCGUGCGUAGGCGGUUUAUUAA
rnacentral:rRNA from 1 species